rnacentral:rRNA from 1 species
GGGUGCAAGCGUUGUCCGGAAUUAUUGGGCGUAAAGAGCUCGUCGGCGGUCUGUCGCGUCGGCUGUGAAAUCCCGAGGCUCAACCUCGGGUCUGCAGUCGAUACGGGCAAACUAGAGUAUUGCAGGGGAGACUGGAAUUCCUGGUGUAGCGGUGAAAUGCGCAGAUAUCAGGAGGAACACCGGUGGCGAAGGCGGGUCUCUGGGCAAUAACUGACGCUGAGGAGCGAAAGCGUGGGGAGCGAACAGG